rnacentral:snoRNA from 1 species
AAGGUUGAUGAUGAAGAACUAAUCUCCUACAUCGUCGUUGGCCUCGACGAAGACUUCGAACCAGUGGUGUCUUCCUUGGUAGGCCGCGCCGAACCGAUCACGGUCGGUGAGGCCUACUCCCAGUUACCUAGCUUUGAGC